AGAUUGAACGCUGGCGGCAGGCCUAACACAUGCAAGUCGAGCGGCAGCACGGGUACUUGUACCUGGUGGCGAGCGGCGGACGGGUGAGUAAUGCCUAGGAAUCUGCCUGAUAGUGGGGGAUAACGUUCGGAAACGGACGCUAAUACCGCAUACGUCCUUCGGGAGAAAGUGGGGGAUCUUCGGACCUCACGCUAUCAGAUGAGCCUAGGUCGGAUUAGCUAGUUGGUAGGGUAAAGGCCUACCAAGGCUACGAUCCGUAACUGGUCUGAGAGGAUGAUCAGUCACACUGGAACUGAGACACGGUCCAGACUCCUACGGGAGGCAGCAGUGGGGGAAUAGUUGGACAAAGUGGGGACGAAAGCCUGAUCCAGCCACGCCGCGUGUG
rnacentral:rRNA from 1 species